rnacentral:rRNA from 1 species
UUCAAGAUUCUAAGAGCAAACGGUGGAUGCCUUGGCAUCUGGAGCCGAAGAAGGACGUAUAAAUCUGCGAUAAGCCUCGGGGAGCUGAUAAUAGAGCUUUGAUCCGAGGAUCUCCGAAUGGGGAAACCCCGCCAGGCCCUUUGGGUGACCUGGUGACUCCCGCCUGAAUAUAUAGGGCGGGUAGAGGGAACGUGGGGAAGUGAAACAUCUCAGUACCCACAGGAAGAGAAAGCAAAAGCGAUUCCGUUAGUAGUGGCGAGCGAAACCGGAAGAGGCCAAACCGAUCAUGUGUGAUAUCCGGUAGGAGUUGCAUGGUCGGGGUUGCGGGACUUUCCGUACAGUUCUACCGAGCUGUGAGGGCAAUGAGCGCGAUAUAGACGAAUGGUCUUGAAAGGCCAGUCAUAGAGGGUGCGAACCCCGUAGUCGAAAUGUCGUCGCCUGUCCGGAGAGUAUCCCAAGUAGCACGGGGCCCGAGAAAUCCCGUGUGAAUCUGUCAGGACCACCUGAUAAGCCUAAAUACUCCCAGAUGACCGAUAGCGGACAAGUACCGUGAGGGAAAGGUGAAAAGUACCCCGGGAGGGGAGUGAAAUAGUACCUGAAACCGUUUGCUUACAAACCGUUGGAGCACCCUUGUUGGUGUGACAGCGUGCCUUUUGAAGAAUGAGCCUGCGAGUUAGUGAUAUGUGGCGAGGUUAACCCGUGAGGGGCAGCCGUAGCGAAAGCGAGUCUUAAUAGGGCGUAUGAGUCGCAUGUUCUAGACCCGAAGCGAAGUGAUCUAUCCAUGGCCAGGUUGAAGCGACGGUAAGACGUCGUGGAGGACCGAACCCACUUCAGUUGAAAAUGGAGGGGAUGAGCUGUGGAUAGGGGUGAAAGGCCAAUCAAACUUCGUGAUAGCUGGUUCUCUCCGAAAUGCAUUUAGGUGCAGCGUUGCGUGUUUCUUGCCGGAGGUAGAGCUACUGGAUGGACGAUGGGCCCCAAAAGGUUACUGACUUCAGCCAAACUCCGAAUGCCGGUAAGUGAGAGCGCAGCAGUGAGACGGUGGGGGAUAAGCUUCAUCGUCGAGAGGGAAACAACCCAGACCACCAUCUAAGGUCCCUAAGCGCGUGCUAAGUGGGAAAGGAUGUGGAGUUGCAUAGACAACCAGGAGGUUGGCUUAGAAGCAGCCACCCUUGAAAGAGUGCGUAAUAGCUCACUGGUCAAGUGAUUCCGCGCCGACAAUGUAACGGGGCUCAAGCACGCCACCGAAGUUGUGGCAUUUAUAUUAUAGGCAGGCCUUCGUGGUCCAGUCGUAUGGAUGGGUAGGAGAGCGUCGUGUGGCCAGCGAAGCGGCGGUGUGAACCAGCCGUGGAGGCCACACGAGUGAGAAUGCAGGCAUGAGUAGCGAAAGACGGGUGAGAAACCCGUCCUCCGAAAGACCAAGGGUUCCAGGGCCAGGCUAAUCCGCCCUGGGUAAGUCGGGACCUAAGGCGAGGCCGACAGGCGUAGUCGAUGGACAACGGGUUGAUAUUCCCGUACCGAUGAAGAACCGCCCAAGACAAUCCAGUAAUGCUAAGUGUCUGAAUCCUUGAUUCGAUCCCUUCGGGGUGACGGUCUUGGCCUAGCACACGACCCUACGCUGGGGCGUUUAGCGUAUUAACAGGUGUGACGCAGGAAGGUAGCUGAGCCGGGCGAUGGUUGUCCCGGUCUAAGGAUGUAGGGCAGAAGAUAGGCAAAUCCGUCUUCUAUGUAGCCUGAGACCCGAUGGGUAGUCCUCACGGAUGAAAUCAGUGAUCCUAUGCUGCCGAGAAAAGCAUCGACGCGAGGUUCCAAGCGCCCGUACCCCAAACCGACUCAGGUGGUCAGGUAGAGAAUACUAAGGAGAUCGAGAGAAUCGUGGUUAAGGAACUCGGCAAAAUGCCCCCGUAACUUCGGGAGAAGGGGGGCCUGAGGCGUGUAGGGAUUUACUCCUGAAGCGUUUGAAGGCCGCAGAGACCAGUGGGAAGCGACUGUUUACUAAAAACACAGGUCCGUGCUAAGUCGCAAGACGAUGUAUACGGACUGACGCCUGCCCGGUGCUGGAAGGUUAAGAGGAACGGUUAGCACGCAAGUGCGAAGCUGAGAAUUUAAGCCCCAGUAAACGGCGGUGGUAACUAUAACCAUCCUAAGGUAGCGAAAUUCCUUGUCGGGUAAGUUCCGACCUGCACGAAUGGCGUAACGACUUCCCAGCUGUCUCAACCGCGAACUCGGCGAAAUUGCACUACGAGUAAAGAUGCUCGUUACGCGCAGCAGGACGGAAAGACCCCGUGACCUUUACUACAGCUUGGUAUUGGUGUUCGGUGUGGCUUGUGUAGGAUAGGUGGGAGACUGUGAAGCUCGGACGCUAGUUCGGGUGGAGUCAUUGUUGAAAUACCACUCUGGUCACUCUGGAUAUCUAACUUCGAACCGUAAUCCGGUUCAGGGACAGUGCCUGGUGGGUAGUUUAACUGGGGCGGUUGCCUCCUAAAGAGUAACGGAGGCGCCCAAAGGUUCCCUCAACCUGGUUGGUAAUCAGGUGUCGAGUGUAAGUGCACAAGGGAGCUUGACUGUGAGACUGACAAGUCGAGCAGGGACGAAAGUCGGGACUAGUGAUCCGGCAGUGGCUUGUGGAAGCGCUGUCGCUCAACGGAUAAAAGGUACCUCGGGGAUAACAGGCUGAUCUUGCCCAAGAGUCCAUAUCGACGGCAUGGUUUGGCACCUCGAUGUCGGCUCGUCGCAUCCUGGGGCUGGAGUAGGUCCCAAGGGUUGGGCUGUUCGCCCAUUAAAGCGGUACGCGAGCUGGGUUUAGAACGUCGUGAGACAGUUCGGUCCCUAUCCGCUGCGCGCGUAGGAAAUUUGAGAAGAUCUAUCCCUAGUACGAGAGGACCGGGAUGGACGAACCUCUGGUGUGUCAGUUGUUCCGCCAGGAGCACCGCUGAUUAGCUACGUUCGGAACGGAUAACCGCUGAAAGCAUCUAAGCGGGAAGCCGGCUUCGAGAUGAGAUUUCCAUCCCUUUUAGGGUGAAGGCUCCCGGCUAGACUACCGGGUUGAUAGGCAGGAUGUGGAAGCGAGGACUAAAGACUCGUGGAGCUGACCUGUACUAAUAAGCCGAUAUCUUGAAAACAC